rnacentral:lncRNA from 1 species
AUGUUACACGUACUGACAGAAGUGUUUCCAGGAUCUGAGAUUCACAAAAGACACUGCAGUGAAAAAUUCAGGAACAUAUGGAUACAAACUUUAUCCUCUGAACAACAUGAGAAUUUUUGGAAAAACAGCAGGUAACCAAGAAUUUUCUGGGUAUCUC